rnacentral:lncRNA from 1 species
UGGUAAUCCUGUCGAACGCGGCUUUAAAAAAAAUUGUGUUGUGGAGCUGCUUAAGUGUUGCUCUCCACUUUCUAGAGGAUCCGUGACAGGGAGACACGUCCUUCAUUCAUGAUGAUCUAUAUGGGUUUCCCACAAGGGGACAACCUACUGUUCUUAUUAGCACUCCUGUGCUAAUGCAGAGGAGAGCCACACUGCACCACUGGAACUGGCGAGGGCCCAUCUUCUUCUGGAUCAGGAACUCAUCUGCAGUGCGACACGUGGAUCCAGGGACAACCUUUUCUGGGGGAAAGGUGUAUUUGUCAUCCUCAUGGGACGGCCAGUCAGCACUUCAUGUGGAGAGAGACCAGUGACUUGUAUGGGUUCUGCCUCUCAUACUCAUCAGUGCCAAUGGAGCCCAUGACAGGCUUGUUUCACCAAUCAGUUUGACUAAUUCAAUUUUCAGAGAUUGAUUCGCCCUUUCCACCGCAACCACAGAUCGGG